rnacentral:rRNA from 1 species
AGCGAACGCUGGCGGCAUGCCUAACACAUGCAAGUCGAACGAGACCUUCGGGUCUAGUGGCGCACGGGUGCGUAACGCGGGGGAACCUGCCCUUAGGUUCGGAAUAACUCCCCGAAAGGGGUGCUAAUACCGGAUAAUGUCUUCGGACCAAAGAUUUAUCGCCUUUGGAUGGGCCCGCGUUGGAUUAGCUAGUUGGUAGGGUAAAAGCCUACCAAGGCGACGAUCCAUAGCUGGUCUGAGAGGAUGAUCAGCCACACUGGGACUGAGACACGGCCCAGACUCCUACGGGAGGCAGCAGUGGGGAAUAUUGGACAAUGGGCGAAAGCCUGAUCCAGCCAUGCCGCGUGAGUGAUGAAGGCCUUAGGGUUGUAAAGCUCUUUUAGCCGGGAUGAUAAUGACAGUACCGGGAGAAUAAGCUCCGGCUAACUCCGUG